GUGAGGAAUAUUGCGCAAUGGAGGCAACUCUGACGCAGCCAUGCCGCGUGCAGGAAGAAGGCGCUACGCGUUGUAAACUGCUUUUAACCGGGAAGAAACCCCAGGACGUGUCCUGGGUUGACGGUACCGGAGGAAUAAGCACCGGCUAACUUCGUGCCAGCAGCCGCGGUAAUACGAAGGGUGCAAGCGUUAUCCGGAUUCAUUGGGUUUAAAGGGUGCGUAGGCGGAGCGUUAAGUCAGUGGUGAAAUCCUGCAGCUUAACUGUAGACUUGCCAUUGAUACUGGCGCCCUUGAGUGCGCUUGAAGUGGGCGGAAUGUGCCGUGUAGCGGUGAAAUGCUUAGAUAUGGCACAGAACACCAAUUGCGAAGGCAGCUCACUAAGGCGAUACUGACGCUGAGGCACGAAAGCGUGGGGAUCGAACAGGAUUAGAAACCCCAGUAGUCC
rnacentral:rRNA from 1 species